rnacentral:lncRNA from 1 species
AUGAGUGAACCCUCAGAAGAGAGUGAGGAUAUCCAGGAUGAGAUACAAUAUUCUCCACUACAGCAGGCCUCAACUCCAAGUACACUCAGUUCUACUAAGAGGAAAAUCCAACCAAAAGGAGAAAAGGAGGAAGAUACUAUGAGUGAACCCUCAGAGGAAAGUGAGGAUAUCCAGGAUGAGAUACAAUAUUCUCCACUACAGCAGGCCUCAACUCCAAGUACACUCAGUUCUACUAAGAGGAAAAUCCAACCAAAAGGAGAAAAGGAGGAAGAUUCUAUGAGUGAACCCUCAGAGGAAAGUGAGGAUAUCCAGGAUGAGAUACAAUAUUCUCCACUGCAGCAGGCUUCAACUCCAAGUACACUCAGUUCUACUAAGAGGAAAAUCCAACCAAAAGGAGAAAAGGUGAGCAAAGCCAAGAGCAUUGUAAUCCUGUGGAUGGGAAACAGCUCUUGGACAUUCCUUCUGUAA